GACGAACGCUGGUGGCGUGCCUAAUACAUGCAAGUCGGACGCUGCUUAAGAAGAAACUUCGGUUUUUUCUUAAGCGGAGUGGCGGACGGGUGAGUAACACGUGGGGAACCUAUCUAUCAGCGGGGGAUAACACUUGGAAACAGGUGCUAAUACCGCAUAUGGCUUUUUUUCACCUGAAAGAAAGCUCAAAGGCGCUUUACAGCGUCACUGAUGGCUGGUCCCGCGGUGCAUUAGCCAGUUGGUGAGGUAACGGCUCACCAAAGCAACGAUGCAUAGCCGACCUGAGAGGGUGAUCGGCCACACUGGGACUGAGACACGGCCCAGACUCCUACGGGAGGCAGCAGUAGGGAAUCUUCGGCAAUGGACGCAAGUCUGACCGAGCAACGCCGCGUGAGUGAAGAAGGUUUUCGGAUCGUAAAGCUCUGUUGUCAGCAAAGAACAGGAGAAAGAGGAAAUGCUUUUUCUAUGACGGUAGCUGACCAGAAAGCCACGGCUAACUACGUGCCAGCAGCCGCGGUAAUACGUAGGUGGCAAGCGUUGUCCGGAUUUAUUGGGCGUAAAGCGAGCGCAGGCGGUGAUUUAAGUCUGAUGUGAAAGCCCCCAGCUCAACUGGGGAGGGUCAUUGGAAACUGGAUCACUUGAGCGCAGAAGAGGAGAGUGGAAUUCCAUGUGUAGCGGUGAAAUGCGUAGAUAUAUGGAGGAACACCAGUGGCGAAGGCGGCUCUCUGGUCUGUAACUGACGCUGAGACUCGAAAGCGUGGGUAGCAAACAGGAUUAGAUACCCUGGUAGUCCACGCCGUAAACGAUGAGUGCUAAGUGUUGGAGGGUUUCCGCCCUUCAGUGCUGCAGUUAACGCAUUAAGCACUCCGCCUGGGGAGUACGACCGCAAGGUUGAAACUCAAAGGAAUUGACGGGGGCCCGCACAAG
rnacentral:rRNA from 1 species